UGUUGUGUAAUUUAUUUAAUGGUUCUCAAUAAUUUGUUAAAUGUUGUUGGAACGCGGUUUGUAAAUUGAGAACAGUCCCUUAAAGCGCAUUUUGUAAAUUUAGAGCAAUCCCAUAAAUAGCUUGAUUAAAUUCGUGAUUUGGUUCUGAAUAAUAAUAUUCUCAAUAUUUUUUAUAUAUUCUGUUUGUUUAUUUACUGUUUGUUUACAACUUUAAACCAGUUUGCACUAAAUUCUGUGCAGUUCUCUUGGCCAUCUGGUCUCACUACCAGUUGGAUUUAGUUUGUGAAAUCGGCGGAUCUGAGGUAGAAUUUUAUAUUAAAGGCUCUAUUUACGGCUUUAUUUACAAGUGAAAUCUUUUUAAGACAGUGAAAUAGUUAUUAACCCAUUGAUGCCAAAAGCGUCAUUUUUGAUCCGUUCUAAAACUUUUAAAUUUGGAAGAUUUUCUUAUUUCAUUUAACUUUUUUCAAUAUUCUUAUUAAACUAAAUUCUUAUUUGAGCAGUGCAUCUUAUUGGGUUAUAUUUUAUCUUUUUGUUCUUGCACUUUAUAUACUUUUAAUUUAGCAAGCGUGCAUUGUGGUUUAUAUUGGUUCAGCAGUAUCCUUAGGCAAACUUAUUGCUCUCCUUAAGCAAACUUAUUGCUCAAGACCCUGCUGGAUCUACCCUAGCUCUGUUCAACCCCGAUCAGCGAAACAAUUUUUGAAACCGCUGUGCUGUUUUUGAAACCGCUGUGCUGUUAUCAAUCUGUGAACUGAUCGGAACCCUUUCUAAGAAGAUUGUAUUUAUUAAUAAAGAUUUACGUUACUUAA